AAAGGAAUAGACGGGGGCCCGCACAAGCGGUGGAGCAUGUGGUUUAAUUCGAAGCAACGCGAAGAACCUUACCAAGGCUUGACAUGGAUAUGAAUGCGUUAGAGAUAGCGCAGCCCUACGGGGCAGAUCACACAGGUGGUGCAUGGUUGUCGUCAGCUCGUGUCGUGAGAUGUUGGGUUAAGUCCCGCAACGAGCGCAACCCUUAUGUCCAGUUGCCAGCAUUUAAGGUGGGCUACACUGGAGAGACUGCCGUGGAGAACACGGAGGAAGGUGGGGAUGACGUCAAAUCAUCAUGCCCCUUAUGUCUUGGGCUACACACGUGCUACAAUGGUUUCUACAACGUGCGGCAAAGCAGUGAUGCGGAGCGAACCACGAAAAGAAGCCUCAGUUCGGAUUGCAGGCUGCAACCCGCCUGCAUGAAGUCGGAAUCGCUAGUAAUCGCGAAUCAGCAUGUCGCGGUGAAUACGUUCCCGGGCCUUGUACACACCGCCCGU
rnacentral:rRNA from 1 species